rnacentral:snRNA from 1 species
AUGUUUACGUGUAAAAUAGUUACA